GGUAGUCCACGCUGUAAACGAUGUCGAUUUGGAGUUUGUUGCCUAGAGUGAUGGGCUCCGAAGCUAACGCGAUAAAUCGACCGCCUGGGGAGUACGGCCGCAAGGUUAAAACUCAAAUGGAUUGACGGGGGCCCGCACAAGCGGUGGAGCAUGUGGUUUAAUUCGAUGCAACGCGAAGAACCUUACCUGGUCUUGACAUCCAUAGAAUUCUGCAGAGAUGUGGGAGUGCCUUCGGGAACUAUGAGACAGGUGCUGCAUGGCUGUCGUCAGCUCGUGUUGUGAAGUGUUGGGUUAAGUCCCGCAACGAGCGCAACCCUUAUUCUUUGUUGCCAGCGAUUUGGUCGGGAACUCAAAGGAGACUGCCGUUGAUAAAGCGGAGGAAGGUGGGGACGACGUCAAGUCAUCAUGGCCCUUACGACCAGGGCUACACACGUGCUACAAUGGCGUAUACAAAGGGAAGCGAAGGUGCGAGCUGGAGCGGAUCUCAUAAAGCACGUCUAAGUUCGGAUUGGAGUCUGCAACUCGACUCCAUGAAGUCGGAAUCGCUAGUAAUCGUAGAUCAGAAUGCUACGGUGAAUACGUUCCCGGGCCUUGUACACACCGCCCGUCACACCAUGGGAGUGGGUUGCACCAGAAGUAGAUAGCUUAACCGCGAGGGGGGCGUUUACCACGGUGUGAUUCAUGACUGGGGUGAAGUCGUAACAAGGUAACCA
rnacentral:rRNA from 1 species